rnacentral:rRNA from 1 species
AACGAACGCUGGCGGCAGGCCUAACACAUGCAAGUCGAACGCCCUAGCAAUAGGGAGUGGCAGACGGGUGAGUAACACGUGGGAACCUUCCCUGUAGUACGGAAUAGCCCAGGGAAACUUGGAGUAAUACCGUAUACGCCCGAAAGGGGAAAGAUUUAUCGCUAUAGGAUGGGCCCGCGUCGGAUUAGCUAGUUGGUGAGGUAAUGGCUCACCAAGGCAACGAUCCGUAGCUGGUUUGAGAGAAUGACCAGCCACACUGGGACUGAGACACGGCCCAGACUCCUACGGGAGGCAGCAGUGGGGAAUCUUGGACAAUGGGCGCAAGCCUGAUCCAGCCAUGCCGCGUGAGUGAUGAAGGCCCUAGGGUUGUAAAGCUCUUUUGUCGGGGACGAUAAUGACGGUACCCGAAGAAUAAGCUCCGGCUAACUUCGUGCCAGCCGCCGCGGUAA